CGGACGGGUGAGUAACGCGUGGGUAACCUGCCUCAUACAGGGGGAUAACGGUUAGAAAUGACUGCUAAUACCGCAUAAGCGCACAGUACCGCAUGGUACGGUGUGAAAAACUCCGGUGGUAUGAGAUGGACCCGCGUCUGAUUAGCUAGUUGGUGGGGUAACGGCCCACCAAGGCGACGAUCAGUAGCCGACCUGAGAGGGUGACCGGCCACAUUGGGACUGAGACACGGCCCAG
rnacentral:rRNA from 1 species